rnacentral:rRNA from 1 species
AGUCGAACGAUGAUGCCCAGCUUGCUGGGCGGAUUAGUGGCGAACGGGUGAGUAAUACGUGAGUAACCUGCCCUUGACUCUGGGAUAAGCCUGGGAAACUGGGUCUAAUACUGGAUACUACCUCUUACCGCAUGGUGGGUGGUGGAAAGGGUUUUACUGGUUUUGGAUGGGCUCACGGCCUAUCAGCUUGUUGGUGGGGUAAUGGCUCACCAAGGCGACGACGGGUAGCCGGCCUGAGAGGGUGACCGGCCACACUGGGACUGAGACACGGCCCAGACUCCUACGGGAGGCAGCAGUGGGGAAUAUUGCACAAUGGGCGGAAGCCUGAUGCAGCGACGCCGCGUGAGGGAUGACGGCCUUCGGGUUGUAAACCUCUUUCAGUAGGGAAGAAGCGAGAGUGACGGUACCUGCAGAAGAAGCGCCGGCUAACUACGUGCCAGCAGCCGCGGUAAUACGUAGGGCGCAAGCGUUGUCCGGAAUUAUUGGGCGUAAAGAGCUCGUAGGCGGUUUGUCGCGUCUGCUGUGAAAGCCCGGGGCUCAACCCCGGGUCUGCAGUGGGUACGGGCAGACUAGAGUGCAGUAGGGGAGACUGGAAUUCCUGGUGUAGCGGUGAAAUGCGCAGAUAUCAGGAGGAACACCGAUGGCGAAGGCAGGUCUCUGGGCUGUUACUGACGCUGAGGAGCGAAAGCAUGGGGAGCGAACAGGAUUAGAUACCCUGGUAGUCCAUGCCGUAAACGUUGGGCACUAGGUGUGGGGGACAUUCCACGUUUUCCGCGCCGUAGCUAACGCAUUAAGUGCCCCGCCUGGGGAGUACGGCCGCAAGGCUAAAACUCAAAGGAAUUGACGGGGGCCCGCACAAGCGGCGGAGCAUGCGGAUUAAUUCGAUGCAACGCGAAGAACCUUACCAAGGCUUGACAUUCACCGGACCGCCCCAGAGAUGGGGUUUCCCUUCGGGGCUGGUGGACAGGUGGUGCAUGGUUGUCGUCAGCUCGUGUCGUGAGAUGUUGGGUUAAGUCCCGCAACGAGCGCAACCCUCGUUCUAUGUUGCCAGCACGUGAUGGUGGGGACUCAUAGGAGACUGCCGGGGUCAACUCGGAGGAAGGUGGGGAUGACGUCAAAUCAUCAUGCCCCUUAUGUCUUGGGCUUCACGCAUGCUACAAUGGCCGGUACAAAGGGUUGCGAUACUGUGAGGUGGAGCUAAUCCCAAAAAGCCGGUCUCAGUUCGGAUUGAGGUCUGCAACUCGACCUCAUGAAGUCGGAGUCGCUAGUAAUCGCAGAUCAGCAACGCUGCGGUGAAUACGUUCCCGGGCCUUGUACACACCGCCCGUCAAGUCACGAAAGUUGGUAACACCCGAAGCCGGUGGCCUAACCCCUUGUGGGAGGGAGCCGUCGAA